UAACGGCGAGUGAAGCGGCAACAGCUCAAAUUUUAAAGCUGGCGUCUUCGGCGCCCGCGUUGUAAUUUGGAGAGGCAUCUUCGGUUUGGGCGCCAGCCUAUGUUCCUUGGAACAGGACGUCACAGAGGGUGAGAAUCCCGUGCUUGGCUGGCUGUCCCUUUCCAUGUGAAGCGCCUUCGACGAGUCGAGUUGUUUGGGAAUGCAGCUCAAAAUGGGUGGUAAAUUCCAUCUAAAGCUAAAUAUUGGCGGGAGACCGAUAGCGCACAAGUAGAGUGAUCGAAAGAUGAAAAGCACUUUGAAAAUAGAGUUAAAAAGUACGUGAAAUUGUUGAAAGGGAAGCGCUUGAGACCAGACUCGGCCGGAGAUGAUCAGCCGUCCUUCUGGGCGGUGCACUUGUCUCCGGUCGGGCCAGCAUCGGUUGAGACGGCGGGAUAAAGGCCCGGGGAAUGUGGCUCCUUUCGGGGAGUGUUAUAGCCCCGGGCGCAAUGCCGCCAGCCUCGACCGAGGACCGCGCUUUUUGCUAGGAUGCUGGCGUAAUGGUCUUCAGCGACCCGUCUUGAAACACGGACCAAGGAGUCUAACAUCUAUGCGAGUGUUUGGGUGUCAAACCCUUGCGCGUAAUGAAAGUGAACGGAGGUGGGAACCCCUCGCGGGGCGCACCAUCGACCGGUCCUGAUGUCUUCGGAUGGAUCUGAGUAGGAGCAUAGCUGUUGGGACCCGAAAGAUGGUGAACUAUGCCUGAAUAGGGUGAAGCCAGAGGAAACUCUGGUGGAGGCUCGCAGCGGUUCUGACGUGCAAAUCGAUCGUCAAAUUUGGGUAUAGGGGCGAAAGACUAAUCGAACCAUCUAGUAGCUGGUUCCUGCCGAAGUUYCCYUCAGGA
rnacentral:rRNA from 1 species